rnacentral:rRNA from 1 species
GAGUUUGAUCGUGGCUCAGGAUGAACGCCGGCGGUGUGCCUAAUACAUGCAAGUCGUACGCACUGGCCCAACUGAUUGAUGGUGCUUGCACCUGAUCGACGAUGGAUCACCAGUGAGUGGCGGACGGGUGAGUAACACGUAGGUAACCUGCCCUGUACAGGGGGAUAACAAUCAGAAAUGACUGCUAAUACCGCAUAAGACCACAGCACCGCAUGGUGCAGGGGUAAAAACUCCGGUGGUACAGGAUGGACCCGCGUCUGAUUAGCUGGUUGGUGAGGUAACGGCUCACCAAGGCGACGAUCAGUAGCCGGCUUGAGAGAGUGAACGGCCACAUUGGGACUGAGACACGGCCCAAACUCCUACGGGAGGCAGCAGUGGGGAAUAUUGCACAAUGGGGAAACCCUGAUGCAGCAACGCCGCGUGAGUGAAGAAGUAUUUCGGUAUGUAAAGCUCUAUCAGCAGGGAAGAAAGUGACGGUACCUGACUAAGAAGCCCGGCUAACUACG